rnacentral:rRNA from 1 species
UGGGGAAUAUUGGACAAUGGGCGCAAGCCUGAUCCAGCCAUGCCGCGUGGAUGAUGAAGGCCUUAGGGUUGUAAAGUCCUUUCGGCGGGGAAGAUAAUGACGGUACCCGCAGAAGAAGCCCCGGCUAACUUCGUGCCAGCAGCCGCGGUAAUACGAAGGGGGCUAGCGUUGCUCGGAAUCACUGGGCGUAAAGCGCACGUAGGCGGAUUUCUAAGUCGGUGGUGAAAUCCUGGAGCUCAACUCCAGAACUGCCUCCGAUACUGGGAGUCUUCGAGUCCGGGAGAGGUGAGUGGAACUGCGAGUGUAGAGGUGAAAUUCGUAGAUAUUCGCAAGAACACCAGUGGCGAAGGCGGCUCACUGGCCCGGUACUGACGCUGAGGUGCGAAAGCGUGGGGAGCAAACAGGAUUAGAUACCCGUGUAGUCCCUGAGCGGGCUGGCAAGGCGCAU